rnacentral:sRNA from 1 species
CGUGGCCCUCUUCUUUGUUCUCUGCUGGAUCCAAGAGAUGGGGUUUCAUCAUGUUGGCCAGGCUGGUCAUGAACUCCUGACCUCAAUGGAUCCUCCUGCCUCAGCUUCCUGAGUAGCUGGGAUCACAGGUGCACACCACCACACCCAGACUAUGUGAAAAUGAGCUUAGCCCCUGGUGUUGUGUUGGAACUUCAGAUGCUUGCAGACACUUCGUGAAUGCUCUGUGACACUCAGAAUAGGCUAUUCCCAACAAAAGAGCUUGAACAGUGCUGCAUUUGCAUCAGGUUCAAAUGAGCGAGAGGAACAUUUGGCUAAAAUAUUUGAGACUGGGUUUCACUGUGUUAGCCAGGAUGGUCUCCAUCUCCUGACCUUGUGAUCCGCCCGCCUCUGCCUCCCAAAGUGCUGGGAUUACAGGCAUGAGCCACCGUGCCUGGCCUAGAAUGUCCUUUCUUUUUGAAACCGAGUAAUAUUCCAUUAUCACCUUUCAGAGGAGAAGAGUUUUAAAGAAUCCUCUCUG